GAGAAACGGCUACCACAUCCACGGAAGGCAGCAGGCGCGUAAAUUACCCAAUACCGGCUCGGUGAGGUAGUGACAAAAAAUAACAAUAUGGGCCCUAGUGGUUUCAUAAUUGCAAUGAGAAUAAUUUAAAUACUUUAUCAAGUAUCAAUUGGAGGGCAAGUCUGGUGCCAGCAGCCGCGGUAAUUCCAGCUCCAAAAGCGUAUAUUAAAGUUGUUGCAGUUAAAACGCUCGUAGUUGAAAUUUGGGAAUCCUAAUGUUUUGAUAUCGUAAGAUUGAAAAAUCAUUAGGUCCUUUUUUGUCUUGUAUAUUUUUCAGGUGCUUUACUGCAUUUGAUUAAUAACAGACUAGUUUACUUUGAAAAAAUUAGAGUGCUUAAAGCAGGCUUAUGCUUGUAUAUUGUUGCAUGGAAUAAUAAAAUAUGACUUCGGUUUUAUUUUGUUGGUUUUCGAAACUGAAGUAAUGAUUAAAAGAGACUGCCGGGGGCAUGUGUAUGCUGGUGUUAGAGGUGAAAUUCUUAGAUCAUCAGCAGACAAACUACU
rnacentral:rRNA from 1 species